rnacentral:rRNA from 1 species
CGCAAGCCUGACGGAGCAAUACCGCGUGAGGGAGGAAGGCUUUUGGGUUGUAAACCUCAAAAAUUAGGGAAGAAGAAAGUGACGGUACCUAAUGUAAGCAUCGGCUAACUCCGUGCCAGCAGCCGCGGUAAUACGGAGGAUGCAAGCGUUAUCCGGAAUCAUUGGGCGUAAAGAGUCCGUAGGUGGCUAAUCAAGUCUGCUGUCAAAGACCGAAGCUUAACUUCGGAAAGGCGGUGGAAACUGAAGAGCUAGAGUUCGGGAGGGGUAGAGGGAAUUCCCAGUGUAGCGGUGAAAUGCGUAGAGAUUGGGAAGAACACCAGUGGCGAAGGCGCUCUACUGGACCGAAACUGACACUGAGGGACGAAAGCUAAGGUAGCG